AGGUUUACAGUGUUGUAGAGUCUGAUAGAGAGGUUUACAGUGUUGUAGAGUCUGAUAGAGAGGUUUACAGUG